AUGAGCUCGGUUGACUCCUCUUUCGUGGAUGAUUCAUCGUCGGACGAGGAAUUUGAUUUGCAUGAAGAAGAGGAGAUUGCUAUGCUAGUGGCCAUGCACAAGAGGAAGAAACCGAAGCACGGUGGUUCCGUUUAUGGUCGUGCGUUCAUUCGGAGAGAACGGAUUGAUGCGCACAAACGGUUGGUGCACAACUACUUUGCAUCAUCACCUGUUUUUCCGGAGAAUUAUUUUCGACGCCGUUUCAAAAUGUCGAAAGACUUGUUCUUUCGCAUUUGCAAUGAAGUGAAGCAGCAUAACCCAGUCUUCGAGCAGAGAAGGAGCCGUGUAGGGUUGCUUGGCCAUAGCAUUGAGCAGAAGGUCACUGCCGCUUUGCGCAUUAUGGCAUAUGGUGUUCCGGCAGAUUACAUUGAUGACAACUUGGCGAUGGCAGAGAGCACUUCUAUCUUCUAUGUCAAGAAAUUUGCAAUAACUAUGGUAGAAGUGUUCGGUCCACAGUAUAUGAGAGCACCCAAUGCUCAGGACACUCAGAGGCUUUUGGAGAUGAACAAAGCUCGAGGGUUUCCAGGUAUGCUCGGGUCUGUGGAUUGCAUGCAUUGGAAAUGGAAGAAUUGUCCAAAAGCAUGGCAUGGACAAUUCAAGGGUCGUGGGAAGGAUGCCACUAUCAUUCUUGAGGCAGUUGUUGAUUAUGAAACAUGGAUUUGGCAUGCAUAUUUUGGUAUGCCCGGUUCUUGCAACGACAUCAACGUGCUCGACCGGUCACCUCUCUUUGCCAACUUAGCAAAUGGAGAAGCACCACCGGUGACCUUCGAAGCAAAUGGCCGCACCUACAACUAUGGGUACUAUCUUGCAGAUGGGAUCUACCCGAGGUGGAGUACAUUCGUCAAGCCGGUUACAGAACCUGAAGGUAAGAAAGAACUUGUUUUUCAUAAUGCACAAGCGGCGGCUAGAAAAGAUGUUGAGAGGGCAUUUGGGAUUUUGCAAUCCCAAUUUGCUAUUGUGCGAGGACCAUCUAGAUUUUGGGAUGAAAAGAUCCUUUGGUACAUCAUGACUGCUUGCGUGAUCAUGCAUAACAUGAUUAUUGAGAACGAGCGUGGAAAAAAUUUAGAUUACAACUUCUAUCAGUUGACGGGCACUCGUGUUAACCCCAUGCGCAAAGAGGAGCGCAUCAGACGUUUCAUGAAGGUGUACAGCGAGAUUAGAGACAGCGAUGUGCAUGACCAACUCCAGAAAGAUUUGAUGGAAGAGCAUUGGAAAUGGCAUGGCGAAAGAUCCGCAUAG
rnacentral:rRNA from 1 species